AGAGCAGCGAGCGGGUGGGGAGCAGCCGGGGCGAGAAUGAGCGCAAUCUUGCUAACCCCUGCGGAGGGAGCGCGCGGGCGCCAACGCGGGCGCGCGGGGGCGGGCCCUGGACCUGGACCUUGGGUUUCGGCCCUCCUCCGCGCCCCGCGGUCUCGCGGGCGAAGUUUCAGUCCUGAGUGUAAAGAAUAACCCCAAGCGCGUGGCUAAGUGCGAGCAGGCGCGUGUGACGUCGGGAGGCGCCGCGGCUCCUCGGCCGCCCCACUCGGUGGUCCCCUGUCUGGAUCCAAACUGCUGACUGGCUGACCCGAGUGGUCACAUUUGCCCUCUGGGGCUUUUGAAAACCUUAAAUCAAAAUUGCUUUUGAAUCUGACAACUCCUGAGGCUACUUUCGCGGCCUCGGGGCUGUUUCAUAUAAGGACGCGAGUUUUCCUGAUCAGGUCUGUCGGCCACGUUACGAUUUCCAAUUUGCGAUCCAUCAGUUACUUCCAUUGGGUCUUCAGCCCCCAGGGACUGUGGAUCCUAGACCCCGCGGAGAAGCCCGUGGACUGGAGCUGUGUCAGCUCUGAUGGUAGGAAAGACUAGAUCAAUGACGCGGGCAUUUCAGGACAUAAUCGUAUAUUUUCAAGUUCGAGUUUUUCGGGCUUGGAUUAUCCAGAUAAUUGCCUCCAGUCUCCUCCAGUCCCCCUGGUGUAUGCACUCGCAGCCGCAGAGUUAGAGUCCGGGAGGUGAAGAUUGGCGCUUGGAAAUUAGAUUUGGUUUCUAAAGUAUGAAUUCGUGUCCAACAGUUCGUGCCUUGGACAACGUGGGUUGUAUAAAACUCAAGCUGUGUGUUUAAAACAGGUUUUCUAGCUGCUGGUUCUCUCCAAGUUAUGUAGGACUUUUGAACUGGCCACCCCGCUGUGCGUCUGCGAGGGCAGGGACUGAGCGAGACCCAGCCAGGGGCGCCGGGAGACUGGCGGCGGCUGGGUUGGGGUCCAGCCGGAAACCACACGUUGGCAGGGCCGCUUGGUCAGUAGUGGAGAGAGCCUCUGAGAAAGGGCCGUCUAUCGAUCCCCAGACCCCUCCGUCACGGAGGGAUUCAUAGCUUCCUGGGGAUCGGCCCAGGGCGUCCCUUUGACACUCCGUUCUCUGUCCACACAAGCCCGGCGCGGGGCGGGGAGAAGAGGAAAGGACGCGACUGGGAAAGACGGGACCCUGGCGGGGUUUGGCCCGGGGGAGAGCGGGAAGGAGCCCGGUCGGCGCGGAGGACCUGCGGCCAGCGUGCUAAGCCCUUAUUAGAACAGAAACCCCUUUCCCCCCACACUCUCAUCUCUUUUGCGCGGUCCCCACCGCCAUGCCUUCAAUAACCUUGUGAAUAGAAACCCGAAUCGUUCCAUCUUGGCUUCUGAAACUUAACCCCAGGCAAAGCACACACUCGGCGGGGCCAGGUGGGGCUGGAUGGGGUCCGCGCCCGACGGCGGGGCCGCGGGGGUCGGUGAACCCCAGCUCCCCUGUCGGCCUCAGGGCGGAUGGCUGGGUCGGCGCGGGGUUCGGGGCCUCCGAUCGGCUGCACGAGGGCGGGCCAGGACCCAGACCCCGUCCCCGCUCCGGCCCCGCAAUCCAGCGGGUGACGAGCCUGACGCGCGCCGGUCGCCUGCCACCUCCCGCCCCGAGCGCCCUGGGCCAGUACCUCCCGGCCGCAGGUGAACGCUCCGCGGCCCGCCAGGCUCAAGCUCGACCGUCACAACUUUCCGUGAGGGCUGCACGUUUUUCUGAAUUCAAAUGCCUGCAGGUGCAACUCAUGUUUGCCACACGGGCAAUUAGCGGGCGCGUCCAAACGCCUGAGGCAAAACCUGAGAUCAUCACUGAAAAAAAAAAAUCUAACAGUUCUUUGCCACUAUACUAGUGUAUUUAAUUAUGAUUGCGAAAAAUUGCAGAGGGAAACGAUUUGCUGGCAAUUAAGUAGCAACUGGUUAAAGUUUUUUUUCAAUUUGUCUUUGAAGACAACUGCUGUACUAUGUAUAAAGAAGAGUAUAGCAGGGAAGUUCGAAAGCACACACGGAAUUUUAAAUCUGUUAAAAAUAUUUUUUAAGCAAAGAAGGUGGUAUUUUAAAAGCAUUUAAAACAGCGCCUGGUAUAUAGUAAGCGCCAUAGAAGUCUGUUAAGAAUGCAUAGGGCAAGAGAGCUCAGGGUUUUGAACGCUAUCAAAAUAAUAUGCUUAUUUAUCUGCAAAACACAAUAGCAAUUAGGCAGCACGAGAUUUCCCCAUUAGGUCGUUUAUUCUCCUCAGCUGUUUAUUCCAUUUGCCUGUCCCUUGGUUGAGCGCCUUGUCUGUCUAUAACCGAAAGUGCGUUUCGGGUCAGAGAGACAGAAACAGACACAGGAAACCCUUUAAAGCGCCCCCGCCGACUUAAAUACGGUAGUGGAUUGGAGGUGGGGAGGUGUAGGGGAGGCGUUAUGUGGAGAGAAAGAAAAGAGAAAGAAUGAGGGAACGGCGGGAUUUCAAGCCUCCCCGCCCUUCUGCGACAACCUUUUCAGCGAAAGGGAAGGCUUAGGAAGAAAAGAUGUCCGCGCGUAGAGCAAACCGCAGUUCUUUCCUUUCUUUUUGAAGGAUUUGUACCAUGAGUUAAUUACACCAAAAGAUACGAGGGACUUUAUUAGAAAGGAGAUGCCGUUAGGAAAGAAAGGCCAGGACGGCCGAUCUAAAGGGAAUGGAGAAGGGAAGACUCAGACGCCCUCCCGAAAUUGGUGGUCUAGCCUGUGUUUUGUGCUAAAUGUUAUUUAACUUAAUGGCGUGGGAGUGAGAUGUUGAAUGCAGAGAUCUGGAAAUACCAGAUUUAGUGGUCCUGUUCCUCCUCCCCGACUCUUUUCACACCCAUUUAAUAAAAAGUUACAGUUUUUACACCCGUAUUGAUAAAUUUGGCGAUGUUGGCCAAGUAUUAUCUCGCCCCGCAGAUUUUGAAUUUUGUUGCACAAACCGAUGAAAUGAUUGCUUUGCUAUAAUUGUAAAACUUUUUUGGAACGAACCUGGAUUUUUUUUAUGCCUCUUCAUCUACUUUUUGCUUCAUUAGAGCCCUCUGGUUUUCCAAGAUCGACUGUCACACUUUGUUAUUUGUUGCUUCUCUAAAUCCUUUGAGAUGCUGCUCGCAGCUACGUAAAAAACGUUGGCCACUCAGGUAUUUGAUGGGCUUAGAAAGUCACCAAGAUGUGACACCAUUUAAAAGUUUUAGCUUGGUUUCUCAGUGAAAUAAGGGCAUCUCUGUUAAUUAGAAAACUUUGUGUUAGUCUGAGAUGCCUAAGAGCAUAGUCCAAAUUGAAAAUUCCAAUAUUUUGCCACAUCUGAAAUAUAAUUAUUUACACAGCCUUCUCUUUCAAAGGGAGGACAAACAGGUUGCCUUGAGAAGAGCUAUUCUAUUUGCAAUUGCUGGGGCAGGUGACAAACACGUGUGUAUCUGUGGGCAGCCUUGUUGGGCUGCCUUCCCUGACUACAAGGCUUUUGUGAGCUGGUAACGCCUUAAAAUGUGUGAGAAUGCUGCGCCCUAGGAGUGGAGGCCAAGGGCAAGAUCCUUGUACAUUUCAAUACCUUUUCCAACAUCAGGCUGGCAGCAGGCAGGCCAACCUAGGGUCACUGUGUGACACAUAUUUGCAAGCCAGUAAAGCAAAACAAAGCUGAAAGCAAGUGCAAAUUUAGGCCCACCAACCUUGAAGUCAUCCCUGAAAGGGAGCUGCUUUACUAGUUAAUUUUUCUUGCCCAGUCAGCCACACAAAAUGCAUUGUAUUUCUUGGCUUGCCCCAGUAAUUGCGACUUACUUGUUACAGCAGAAGCUUCAAGAAUUUACACUCAUUGGAAUAAUAAAAUAGAAGUAAGCAACCGUGCAUUAAAAAGCUAUGAAAAGAUGAAGAGAAUAUGCCUUCAAAUGGGAAGGAAUACUUAACUGUGAAUAAGACCUAGUUCAACAUGGAACUUCCUGGUGGCCAAGUCAGAAGAGAAGCACAGAACAAAAACGGAGGCACAGAGAGGUCAAUUGAUUGGUCUAAUGACACAGAUCUAGCAAGUGGUGGAACCAGGACUGAAUCCAGAGGGUUUAUCAAUUGUGUUGAUCUUUUCAAAAAGCAAACUAUCGGAUAUUGGGGGAAGAUGGCAGAUAGGAAACAAGGCUAACGUGCAGCUCCCACAUGAAUGGUCACAACAGUGUGUGCAGACUCACACUGUGAACUUUUCUCCAAGGAUCACUGCAGGAACAUACCAGGAAAACUGAAAGAAUUCACACUUUGAAAGAAGCAGCAUGCCACUGCAAAUUCCAUGAAACAGCAGUGGAGACAACUCGCAACAUCAGCAACACAUUUGGCCCUGGAACUGCUAAUGAAUGUACAGUGCAGUGAUGGUUCAAAAAGUUUUGCAAAGGAGACAAGAGCCUUGAAGAUGAGGAGCAUGGUGGCGGGCCAUCAGAAGUUGACAGUGACCAAUUGAGAGCAAUCAUCGAAGCUGAUCCUCUUACAACUACACAAGAAGUUGCAGAAGAACUCAAUGCCUACCAUUCUAUGGUCACUUGGCAUUUGAUACAAAUUGUAAAGGUGAAAAAGCUGAAUAAAUGGGUGCCUCAUGAGUGAAAAUCAAAAAAAUCAUCAUUUUGAAGUGUCAUCUCCUCUUACUCUUUGCAACAACAAUUUGCAAGAACCAUUUCUUGAUCAGAUUGUGACAUGUGACGAAAAUUGGAUUUUAUACAACUGGCAAUGGCCAGCUCAGCAGUUGGACCGAGAAGAAACUCCAAAACACUUCCCAAAGCCAACCUUGCACCAAAAAAGGUUAUCGUCAUUGUUUGGUGGUCUGCUGCCAAUCUUAUCCACUACAGCUUUCUGAAUCCCGGCAAAACCAUUAUAUCUGAAAAUUAUGCUCAGGAAGUCUAUGAAAUGCACUGAAAACUGCAAUGCCUGGAGCUGGCAUUGGUCAACAGAAAGGGCCCAAUUCUUCUCAAAACAGUGCCUAAUCACACGUCACACAACCAACACUUCAAAAAUUGAACAAAUUGUACUAUGAAGUUUUGUCUAAUCUGCAAUAUUCACUUGACCUCUCACCAACUGACUACCACUUCUUUAAGCAUCUCAACAGCUUUUUGCAGGGAAAACACUUCCACAACCAGCUGGAUGUAGAAAAUGCUUUCCAAGCAUUCACUGAAUCUCAAGGCACAGAUUUUUAUGCUACAGGAAUAAACAAACAUUUCUUGUUGGCAAAAAUGUGUUGAUUGUAAUGGUUCCUGUUUUGAUUAAUAAAGAGGUGGUUUGAGCCUAGUUAUAAUGACUGAAAAUUCAUGAUCUGAAACUGCAAUUACUUGUGCACCAACCUAAUAUGAUCAUCUCAAUAGAUGCAGAAAAAGCACUUGACAAAAUUCAGCAUCUUUUUAUAAUUAAAACCCUCAGCAAAGUUGGCAUAGAAGGGAUAUACCUCAAGGUAAUAAAAGCCAUCUAUGAAAAACCUACAGCCAGAUUAUACAGAAUGGCGAAAGAUUGAAAGCAUUUCCCAUGAGAACUGAAAAAGACAAAGAUGCCCACAUCUACCACUUCUAUUCAAUAUAGUACUGGAAGUCCUAGCCAGAGCAAUCAGACAUGAGAAAGAAAUAAAGGGCAUCAAAAUCAGUAAAGAGGAAGUUGAACUGUUGCUGUUUAGUGGUGAUAUGAAUGUACACCUAGAAAACCCUAAAGAGUCAUCCAAAAAACUGCUAGAUCUGAUAAAUGAAUUCAGCAAAGUUUCAGGAUACAAAAUCAAGGUACACAAAUUAGUAGGACUACUAUACACCAACAAUGACCAAGCUGAGAAACUAACCGAGAACUCAAUCCCUUUUACAACAGCUGCAAGAAAUUAAAACACUUAGAAAUAUACUUAACCAAGAAGGUGAAAGAUCUGUACAAGAAAAACUACAAAACCUGCUGAAAGAAAUCAUUAAUGACUCAAACAAAUGGAAACACAUCCCAUGCUCACAGAUACGUAGAAUCAAUGGUGUGAAAAUAACCAUACUGCCAAAAGCAGUUUACAGAUUGAAUGCAAUUCCAUCAAAAUACCACCAUCAUUCUUCAUAGAACUAGAAAAAACAAUCUGAAAAUUCACAUGAAACCAAAAAAAGAAAAGACCCCACAUAGCCAAAGCAAGACUAAGCAAAAGAACAAAUCUGGAAGCAUCACAUUACCCAGCAAAACAGCAUGAUACUGGUAUAAAAAUAGGCAUGUAGACCAAUGGAACAGAAUAGAGAAUCCAGAAAUAAAGCCAAAUACUUGCAGCCAACUGAUCUUUGACAAAGCAAACAAAAACAUAAAGUGGGGAAAAGUCACCCAAUAUCAACAAAUAGAGCUGCGAUAAUUGGCAAGCUACAUUUAGAAAAAUGAAAUGGAUCCUCAUCUCUCACCUUAUGCAAAAAUCAACUCAAGAUGGAUCAAAGACUUAAAUCUAAGACCUGAAACUAUAAAAAUUCUAGAAGGUAACACUGGCAAAACUCUUCUAGACAUUGGCUUAGGCAAAGAGUACAUGACCAAGAACCCAAAAGCAAAUGCAACAAAAACAAAAGUAAAUAAAUGGGACCUAAUUAAACUAAAAAGCUUCUGCACAGUGAAAGAAACAAUCAGCAGAGUAAACAGGCAACCCACAAAAUGGGAGAAAAUACUCACAAAUUAUGCAUUUGACAAAGGACUAAUAUCAAGAAUCUACAAGGAACUCAAAUCAGCAAGACAAAACAAAUAAUCUCAUCAAAAAGUGGGCAAAGGACAUAAAUAGACAAUUCUCAAAAGAAGAUAUACAAAUGGCCGACAAACACAUGCAAAGAUGCGCAACAUCACUAUCAGGGAAAUGCAAAUCAAAACCACAACGAGAUACUACCUUACUCCUGCAAGAAUGGCCAUAAUUAAAAAAAAUAAUAAAUAGUAGGUGUUGGAGUGGAUAUGGUGAAAAGGGAACACUUUUACACUGCUGGUGGGAAUGUAAGCUAGUACAACCACUGUGUAAAACAGGAUGGAUAUUCCUUAAAGAACUAAAGUAGAACUACCAUUUGAUCCAGCAAUCCCACUGCUGGGUAGAGAGUCUACCCAGAGGAAAAUAAGUCAUUAUAUGGUAAAGACACAAGCAUAUGCAUGCAUUAUAAGUAAGAGGUAAGCUAUGAGAAUGCAAAGGCAUAAGAAUGAUAUCAUGGACUUUGGGGAUUCAGGGGGAAGAGGGAGGUGAGGGAUAAACAACUACACAUUGGGUACAUUGUACACUGCUUGGGUGAUGAGUACACCAAAAUCUGAGAAAUUACCACUAACGCAUUAAUCCAUGCAACCAAAAACUACCAGAAAAGGAUUGACAUUAAAAAAAGUUAAAAUAAAAUAAAAAUAAACUGAGAGGGAGGAAAGCCCUUUGAUUUAUGACACAGAAGCCAUAAACAAUAUGACUAUAGGAUAAUAUGUAUUUUUAAUUUUUUCAAUCUUACUAUAUCAGAAAAUUAUCAGACAUUUGAUAGUACAUCCUCCCCACAAGAAAGGUGUGGGAAAACAUCAUGCAUUCUUGGACUCAACAAAAAUUUGCUUUUAAAUACUAAUUUUAGAAUUAUAAUUGCACAUUUAAAUGAAACAUAUAUAAGGUCAUUGUAUACUUAAAUACUGCUUAUAAUAGCAAAAGACUGCAAACAACAACUUAAAAGUCUAUCAGCAGGAGUCUUGUUAAAGUAUUAUAUAAAUUACACAAUGAAAAACUAAAAAUUGUGCACCUGUAUAGAGAAUACCAAUGCUCUCUAAGCAUGGUGGAAAAUUGUGUUCAUAUUAUGCUAAAAAUU
rnacentral:lncRNA from 1 species